rnacentral:rRNA from 1 species
GGGCCCGCACAAGCGGCGGAGCAUGCGGAUUAAUUCGAUGCAACGCGAAGAACCUUACCAAGGCUUGACAUAUACCGGAAACGGCGAGAGAUCGUCGCCCCGCAAGGUCGGUAUACAGGUGGUGCAUGGUUGUCGUCAGCUCGUGUCGUGAGAUGUUGGGUUAAGUCCCGCAACGAGCGCAACCCUCGUUCCAUGUUGCCAGCGGGUAAUGCCGGGGACUCAUGGGAGACUGCCGGGGUCAACUCGGAGGAAGGUGGGGAUGACGUCAAGUCAUCAUGCCCCUUAUGUCCGGGGCUUCACGCAUGCUACAAUGGCCGGUACAAAGGGCUGCGAUACCGUGAGGUGGAGCGAAUCCCAAAAAGCCGGUCUCAGUUCGGAUUGGGGUCUGCAACUCGACCCCAUGAAGUUGGAGUCGCUAGUAAUCGCAGA